GACAGAGGUGCCAAGCGUUGGGCGGAAUCACUGGGCUUAAAGCGUGUGUAGGCGGUGGCGUAAGUACCUUGUGAAAUCCCACGGCUCAACCGUGGAACUGCUUGGUAUACUGCGUCUCUUGAGCCAACUAGGGGCUAUCGGAACAAGUGGUGGAGCGGUGAAAUGCGUUGAUAUCGAUAGGAACUCCGGUGGCGAAGGCGGCAUACUGGACCACAUCUGACGCUGAGGCGCGAAAGCCAGGGGAGCAAACGGG
rnacentral:rRNA from 1 species